rnacentral:rRNA from 1 species
GCGGACGGGUGAGUAAUGCUUAGGAAUCUGCCUAUUAGUGGGGGACAACAUCUCGAAAGGGAUGCUAAUACCGCAUACGUCCUACGGGAGAAAGCAGGGGACCUUCGGGCCUUGCGCUAAUAGAUGAGCCUAAGUCGGAUUAGCUAGUUGGUGGGGUAAAGGCCUACCAAGGCGACGAUCUGUAGCGGGUCUGAGAGGAUGAUCCGCCACACUGGGACUGAGACACGGUCCAGACUCCUACGGGAGGCAGCAGUGGGGAAUAUUGGACAAUGGGGGGAACCCUGAUCCAGCCAUGCCGCGUGUGUGAAGAAGGCCUUUUGGUUGUAAAGCACUUUAAGCGAGGAGGAGGCUACCGAGAUUAAUACUCUUGGAUAGUGGACGUUACUCGCAGAAUAAGCACCGGCUAACUCUGUGCCAGCAGCCGCGGUAAUACAGAGGGUGCAAGCGUUAAUCGGAUUUACUGGGCGUAAAGCGCGCGUAGGUGGCCAAUUAAGUCAAAUGUGAAAUCCCCGAGCUUAACUUGGGAAUUGCAUUCGAUACUGGUUGGCUAGAGUAUGGGAGAGGAUGGUAGAAUUCCAGGUGUAGCGGUGAAAUGCGUAGAGAUCUGGAGGAAUACCGAUGGCGAAGGCAGCCAUCUGGCCUAAUACUGACACUGAGGUGCGAAAGCAUGGGGAGCAAACAGGAUUAGAUACCCUGGUAGUCCAU